rnacentral:rRNA from 1 species
AACGAACGCUGGCGGCAGGCCUAACACAUGCAAGUCGAGCGAGGACUUCGGUUCUAGCGGCGGACGGGUGAGUAACGCGUGGGAAUGUGCCCUUCUCUACGGAAUAGCCCUGGGAAACUGGGAGUAAUACCGUAUACGCCCUAUUGGGGAAAGAUUUAUCGGAGAAGGAUCAGCCCGCGUUGGAUUAGGUAGUCGGUGGGGUAAUGGCCUACCAAGCCGACGAUCCAUAGCUGGUUUGAGAGGAUGAUCAGCCACACUGGGACUGAGACACGGCCCAGACUCCUACGGGAGGCAGCAGUGGGGAAUCUUAGACAAUGGGGGCAACCCUGAUCUAGCCAUGCCGCGUGAGUGAUGAAGGCCUUAGGGUUGUAAAGCUCUUUCAGCUGGGAAGAUAAUGACGGUACCAGCAGAAGAAGCCCCGGCUAACUCCGUG